UUCUUCGAAACAAAACACACAAAAAGCAAGUUUGGGAAGUGGUUGUUCUCUUGAUUCCCAUCGUUCUCCGUGUUUUCGAAUCUCCCUUUUCAAAAAGUUGUUUCCCUUGUUUUUCCUACUGUUCAGAGAACAAAGAAAAAACGGCAUCUCUCCGUGUUUUCAAUUUGGUGUUCUCCGUGCUGUCCCUGUGAUAUUUCCUCCGACACGUCUGCAACCUCCAACACGUCUACUACGAGUCUCUCUACCAGCACAAUACCAAGGUGCGAUUCGCUCAUUUUUUUCUAUCAAAUCCCUCUCAUGGACGCAAAUCCCAGGUGCGAUUCGCCACCCUAGCUUCGCUCUUGUCUAAUUUAUCAUGAAAUUUCUGUAGGGCUUUUAGUUUUCAAGCAUGCUUCUUCUUGGUUACUCUGUUUGGUUUUUGAGAAAAUCUGGAUUUUUUUUCUUGGGGUUUAUAAGAUUUAGGGAUUUUUUUUUCUCCAUAAGGGCAGUGAUUCGCAAGUUCUUGGUAGUUCUGGGUCUAAAAACAAAGUACCAGAAAAGGAGAAAAAACCAGAAAGAGGGAAAAAGUUUCUGAUGUUCAUUCUAGAAAAUACUGAAAGGUUGUGAUGGGUUCUUGUGGUUCUCAUUACCUCUGUUAUGAUAUUGGAUCACAGAUCAGUUUUCGACCCUACCCUUUAAUUUCUGUAUACUCACAUUAUAUACAAGAACUGGUAAAUGCAAUUAAUGAUUGAACUUAAAAUUGCAGUACUGGUAAUAAUCACUUCUGGAUGCAUUUCAAAAUUAACAAGUAUGCAGAAUGGAGUUUCUACAAGGUUUCCCAUUAAAGAUCUUUGGGCACUUCAUUACUUCUUAGGUGUUGAAGUUCUUACCACUGCACAUGGGUUGUUACUUACUCAAGGUAAUUACAUUUAGGAUGUUCUUUCUUGUACCAAAAUGUCUGGUGCUAAGGAAGUUCACAUUUCUCUUUCCACCAACUCCGUUUUAUCUCUCCAUGAUAGUGCAAACCUUUCUGAUGCUACUGAAUAUCGAUAGGUUGUUGGUAGCUUAUAGUACUUGUUUAUUACACGCCCUAAUGAAUUUAUUAUGGAUUACAACUUACAACCCAAUGAAUUUAUUGGGCUGGGCUUGGGAUGGUUGUAAGAAAAUCCCUGCUUUAGAGACUUUGCUUUUGUACCUAAUUUAACUCAAAACCUUUUUGAUUGUGAGGAAGCUUACACAAAAAGGUUUCUUCAUCAGUUUAUUUUGGCAUUGUUGAUGAUAAAAAACAAUCCCACAAUGACCAGACUAUUGUUGAAAUGUCCAUGACUAACAGCCUAUUUGAUUAUAUUUUCUAAAACUUGCUUUCAAAAACUACUUUUAAAUUAAAAAAUAAAAAACAAUUUUUUAAUAUUUUAUAAAAAUAAGGAUCUGUUAGGUUGGUGUUUAUGAGAAAUGUUUUCUAUUCUUCAAAACAAAAAACACAAAAAGCAAGUUUGGCAAGUGGCUGUUGUCUUGAUUCCCAUUGUUCUCCGUGUUUUCAAAUCUCCCUUUUCAAAAAACAACAAAAAGUUGUUUCCCUUGUUUUUCCUACUGUUCAGAGAACAAAGAAAAAACGGCGUCUCUCCGUGUUUUCAAUUUGGUGUUCUCCGUGUUGUCCCUGUGAUAUUUCCUCCAACACGUCUGCCACCCCCAACACGUCUACUACGAGUCUCUCUACCAGCACCAUACCAAGGUGCGAUUCGCUCAUUUCUUUCUAUCAAAUCCCUCUCAUGGACGCAAAUCCCAGGUGCUUAUAGCAUUGGAGUGCUUCACUACAAAUUCUUCCUAGACCAUUUGUACAACUUCCAAGGGAAGUAGGCCUGACCCAAGUAUUAACUACACCACUGGGUUAGGUUCGGCUCAAUUGUUCAAAGGUGGGCUGACAAGGAGAGAAGGUGUUGUAUUCGCUUGUUGAGUCUAUCUCCUGCUAGUUUGCGCUUUAUUCUUUGCUUGUCGCUACCCAAAAUGUCUCUUGUAAUGAUCUGAAAUGUACUAAUACUUGAAUCGUUAUUGUUUUUACAUUUUUGUUUUAGCUACUAGAUUACAUCAAUGGUUGAUACCUUUUCACUGGAUGUAGAUGAACAGAUUUAUGAGUCCCUUUAUUGCCUUUCAUCAA